rnacentral:rRNA from 1 species
UAUCCGAUGAAAAGUCCCUUGGAAUAGGGCAUCACAGAGGGUGAUAAUCCCGUAUUUUAUCGUGAUUUUGACGUCGUGUGUAGUAAUUUCAAAGAGUCGAGUUGUUUGGGAUUGCAGCUCAAAACAGGUGGUAAAUUCCAUCUAAGGCUAAAUAACGGCAAGAGACCGAUAGCGAACAAGUACCGUGAGGGAAAGAUGAAAAGAACUUUGAAAAGAGAGUUAAACAGUACGUGAAAUUGUUGAAAGGGAAACGAUUGAGGCCAGUCAUGCCUGCGAGAAAUCAAUCAUUUUAAUUUUAUUUUCGAAUUUGAUUAAUUGGUGCACUUUUUCGCGUGGCAGGUUAGCAUCAACUUUAAUUGUUGUAAAAUGGUGGUCGGAAUGUGACUCUUUUAGAGUGUUAUAGCCGAUUGCAGAUGCAACGAUUGGGGUUGAGGUUUGCGGCAAAUGCCUUUGGGCUACUUACCUUCCUUCUGAUCUGUUCACUUCGGAAUGACAGCUUGCUGACAUUUUAAAGGGCGUUCAAUCAAUAGGGUAGAGUAUUGAUAAAUUUGCCAAGGAUGCUGACGUAAUGACCUUAAACGACCCGUCUUGAAACACGGACCAAGGAGUCUAACAUACGUGCAAGUGUUUGGGUGGCAAACCCAUACGCGAAAUGAAAGAAAAGGUAGGUGGGAUCUGUCGUUUUUCGGCAGUGCAGCAUCAACC